AUAUGGUUGAAUUGUCUUCCUUUUAAAAAUAAAGACAAAUUAAGAUGAAUUUUAUUAAUUCUUCUCUAUAUUUUUAUUUUGAUGAAAAUUUUUUUAAGCCAAAGUAAAUUUUUAGUUUAAACUUUAGAAAAAUAAAUCUUUGGUAAGUAUUUAGUGUUAUAUAGUUUAGUAUUGAAUUAAGCGUUGUUAAUAGUAAAUCAUAAUUUUAAAUUUUGAAGUGAAAGGCUUUUAUAUUGCUAGAUGUGCAUUUUAAAUCUAAUAUAACGGCAAUUGGUUAUUUUAAAAUUGAGAUUAUAUUCUAAAUAUUGCUUAAUAUUUAUCAAAUGUUUUAUUGUUCUGAUUAAUUGGCUUAAAGUAAUACCGAAGUGAUUAUAAUAAUGGAACACAUUGGGACCAGGAUGAGUUGAACAUCCGACCUCAGGUUU
rnacentral:misc_RNA from 1 species